rnacentral:rRNA from 1 species
UUUAUGGAGAGUUUGAUCCUGGCUCAGAGUGAACGCUGGCGGCGUGCCUAAUACAUGCAAGUCGAACGAUGAAGCUUCUAGCUUGCUAGAAGUGGAUUAGUGGCGCACGGGUGAGUAACGCAUAGGUCAUGUGCCUCUUAGUUUGGGAUAGCCAUUGGAAACGAUGAUUAAUACCAGAUACUCCCUACGGGGGAAAGAUUUAUCGCUAAGAGAUCAGCCUAUGUCCUAUCAGCUUGUUGGUAAGGUAAUGGCUUACCAAGGCUAUGACGGGUAUCCGGCCUGAGAGGGUGAACGGACACACUGGAACUGAGAUACGGUCCAGACUCCUACGGGAGGCAGCAGUAGGGAAUAUUGCUCAAUGGGGGAAACCCUGAAGCAGCAACGCCGCGUGGAGGAUGAAGGUUUUAGGAUUGUAAACUCCUUUUGUUAGAGAAGAUAAUGACGGUAUCUAACGAAUAAGCACCGGCUAACUCCGUGCCAGCAGCCGCGGUAAUACGGAGGGUGCAAGCGUUACUCGGAAUCACUGGGCGUAAAGAGCGCGUAGGCGGGAUAGUCAGUCAGGUGUGAAAUCCUAUGGCUUAACCAUAGAACUGCAUUUGAAACUACUAUUCUAGAGUGUGGGAGAGGUAGGUGGAAUUCUUGGUGUAGGGGUAAAAUCCGUAGAGAUCAAGAGGAAUACUCAUUGCGAAGGCGACCUGCUGGAACAUUACUGACGCUGAUUGCGCGAAAGCGUGGGGAGCAAACAGGAUUAGAUACCCUGGUAGUCCACGCCCUAAACGAUGGAUGCUAGUUGUUGGAGGGCUUAGUCUCUCCAGUAAUGCAGCUAACGCAUUAAGCAUCCCGCCUGGGGAGUACGGUCGCAAGAUUAAAACUCAAAGGAAUAGACGGGGACCCGCACAAGCGGUGGAGCAUGUGGUUUAAUUCGAAGAUACACGAAGAACCUUACCUAGGCUUGACAUUGAGAGAAUCCGCUAGAAAUAGUGGAGUGUCUAGCUUGCUAGACCUUGAAAACAGGUGCUGCACGGCUGUCGUCAGCUCGUGUCGUGAGAUGUUGGGUUAAGUCCCGCAACGAGCGCAACCCCCUUUCUUAGUUGCUAACAGGUCAUGCUGAGAACUCUAAGGAUACUGCCUCCGUAAGGAGGAGGAAGGUGGGGACGACGUCAAGUCAUCAUGGCCCUUACGCCUAGGGCUACACACGUGCUACAAUGGGGUGCACAAAGAGAAGCAAUACUGCGAAGUGGAGCCAAUCUUCAAAACGCCUCUCAGUUCGGAUUGUAGGCUGCAACUCGCCUGCAUGAAGCUGGAAUCGCUAGUAAUCGCAAAUCAGCCAUGUUGCGGUGAAUACGUUCCCGGGUCUUGUACUCACCGCCCGUCACACCAUGGGAGUUGUGUUUGCCUUAAGUCAGGAUGCUAAACUAGCUACUGCCCACGGCACACACAGCGACUGGGGUGAAGUCGUAACAAGGUAACCGUAGGUGAACCUGCGGUUGGAUCACCUCCUUUCUAGA